rnacentral:rRNA from 1 species
GAUGAACGCUGGCGGCGUGCCUAAUACAUGCAAGUCGAGCGAACAGAUGAGUAGCUUGCUCCUCUGACGUUAGCGGCGGACGGGUGAGUAACACGUGGAUAACCUACCUAUAAGACUGUGAUAACUUCGGGAAACCGGAGCUACUACCGGAUAAUAUAUUGAACCGCAUGGUUCAAUAGUGUAAGACGGUUUUGCUGUCACUUAUAGAUGGAUCCGCGCCGCAUUAGCUAGUUGGUAAGGUAACGGCUUACCAAGGCAACGAUGCGUAGCCGACCUGAGAGGGUGAUCGGCCACACUGGAACUGAGGCACGGUCCAGACGCCUACGAGAGGCAGCAGUAGGGAAUCUUCCGCAAUGGGCGGAAGCAUGACGGAGCAACGACGCGUGAGUGAUGAAGGUCUUCGGAUCGUAAAACUCUGUUAUUAGGGAAGAACAAAUGUGUAAGUAACUAUGCACGUCUUGACGGUACCUAAUCAGAAAGCCACGGCUAACUACGUG